rnacentral:rRNA from 1 species
UACGUAGGCAGCAAGCGUUGUUCGGAAUUACUGGGCGUAAAGAGUGUGUAGGCGGUGCUCUAAGUUCGGUGUGAAAUCUCCGCUUAACUGGAGGUGCGCCGGAAACUGGAGUGCUCGAACGUGGGAGAGGAAGCGGAAUUCCGGUGAUAGCGGUGAAUGCGUAGAUAUCGGGAGGAACACCGAUGCGCAGGCAGUCGCUGCCUAAACUGACGACUGAGGCGGCGAAAGCGU